GUUUUUAUAGUUUAAAAAAAUAUUGGUCUUGUAAAUCAAAGUUAAGUUAUUUUACUUUUAAAAACU
rnacentral:tRNA from 1 species